UUAUUUUUUAUUCAAGUAUGCAGAUUGAAUUUUCUACUCCAGGAACAUGCCAUGGCUUUGCUCUUUGGAUUGAUUGGCUAAUCGAUGAAAGAAAUUCCAUUUCUAUAUCAACCGGACCAGUUAAUAGACACCGGAAACAAGGGGUACAGCUUAUCAGCAAGCCAGUGGUGGUCAAUGUAGCUUCAUGCUACACCGAAAUAGAGGCCUCCUUCGAUCCUUCGACUGGCGAACUCUUCGUUAAACCCUCAUUCUCAUACCCAUCAUAGAAUUAAUCCUUGCGACAGAUCAGCUGGAGCUGCGGAAAUUGAAGUGGGAAGCAAGACAUGCGGUGUUUGUUAUUUUUUUGCUACAUUUUGAACAAGUAUUUUUUGUUAGAACUUAUGUUUGAAAUUUAAUUUGAAUUCUGAGAUUGUAAUUUGAGAGUUGAGACUAUUUGUUAUACAAAUUA